CCUAGAAUAAUCGAAUCAAAAUGAACCAAACUAAAUUCAACGCCCAGCCUAUGAAACAUAAAUAUAAAGUUUGUGGUUGUAAUAUGACAUAAUUGUGGAAAACCUCAAAGUGAAUGAGUAUGUCAGAGAGGCAUUAGAGGUAGGUUGCAGUGAGAGGUGUUUGUUCAGUGAUGUUUCUUUUACUUAUGAUGGUGUCAUUUCAUAAAAUGUGUGUAAAUCGGCAAGUUACACUCCACAGCUAAGCUCUGUUCUGAUUAGCUCCUUCUCUCCUGCUUUGGAUAUUAUUAUACUGAGCAGUAAAUCUACCAUCUAUCGACGUGACAUAGAGGUCGGCCUUGUAAGCCUGACUGCACGUGUGUUUUCACCUCUCUUUGACACAUAGACCGUAAAUAAACAGGUAGUCUGCCGGGCCACCUGUGACACAUGUGCACAUGAUGUUUGCUCAAUCUGCACAUGGUGGUGACUAUAAUGUUAUCUAAGAUGGUUUUCCAAAGUAUGUUCUUCACACACAUGAAACAGGAAGCAGAUUUUAGCAGAUAUACAAUUUUUACCACUUUGUUAAAAGGAUACUUUUCUGGUUAUUAGAUGGAAUUAUAAAUCUAUCUAAUACCCAUAAGCAAAUAGUGCUUAGAGUUUUGUGUUAAGAAGUGCAAUGGCUGAUUUCAUUUAACUGAAAGAAGAAUGUACCAGCAAAUUGUCGAUAAAAAGUCUGUGGACGAAAUGACAACGAUCCCACGCAGCCAAGGAAACUCAGAUUUCAAAGAAAUAAAGUGAAGUUGCUAGAAUUACCCUGGUAAUCACUUGAACUGGAUGAGAUGACCAAUGUGAGCAGGACUGAACGUGGGUGUGCUCAAUACUGAUCCCCUGUGUCAUUUCACCUUAUUACAGAUAAUUAACAGAUCUAUUUGUGUUGAUUUCUUUGUAGAGAACAUGUAAUUAACUUAAGGUGAUACUGGCAUCUGGUGUAAAUCUUUAUGUCAGGAAAUAUAUUAGCUAAAAAAAAACAGUGAUGUAGUUAAUACUGUAUUUGAAGCUUACUUGAUUUGGAUAUGAACAAAAACAAACAAACAAAGAAAAAAAAAACAUUGAAAUGAGCUAGUAAAGUCAGACAUCAAGCAGCAGGUACAAAUACUGCCUUACAAACCCUGUAAUUGGUUUCUGGUAGGCAUUUCUUAGAAAAUUUGUUACGUUUGUUAAACGUUAAAUGUUUGCUAAAUCCCUGUCCUGUGGGUGAUUACCAUCACGGGUUUAUAUAUAGUGAGUUUCUGCACCCAUGAUUGAAGCACCUGUAAAAUAGGCAAUUUUACCGUCACUGUAGCUAACCAGUCGGCUGUGGGAGGGAAAUAACAUGUCCAAGCAAACUGAAGCCUGUCAGCCAGCUAUUAGGGCACACUGACUGUACUCGACAAUUAUCUGAGCAUGUGUCCCUGACGACGUUCAAGCUGAUUAGCUGCUUCUGGGUUCUGAAUGGACAUAAACAGAAGACCAAUUCCUGGAACUGCCAACAUUUUCGUCUGUGAUGAUUUAGAAAAACCUACUUCUCCACAAAAGAUUUGCCCACCGCAGCACUUACUCUGCAUUUCGUGACACAAAUAGCUUUUUUUAAAGUUGAGGACGCAGCAUCAGGCAUCAGGAACCUUGCAUUAGUAUAGCAAUCCAUGCCUUUUCGCUUGUUUAUUUCUUUAAACACAUGUUUUUUAGUUGAUUGGCAACUUUUAGAGCUCAGUCUUUAAAUAGGAGGGGAAAAAAAAUACUCCAUCUUGUUCAUAAUGUAGCCAAAAUUCAACCUCGUCACACAAAGCGCUUAGCUUCAAAUGGACUUGUAUUUUGUCACAACAAGCAAAACAUGUCAAACAGCAGCCGAACCUGUAAGCACUUCAUAUGUUGGGGAGGCAGAAAUGCCAUUUUGAAAUGAAUUACUUGAUGUACUUUCCUGUUUUCUUUUUCUUUUACAUUAGUUUGUUGCCUCUGAAAUAUAAAGAAAAAAAAAGAGUUCCCUUCUCCUCUGUGUUUAGCAGCACUUUAUUUCUAAGGCUUGAUUCUUUUGUGUUUAAUUUAUGGAGAGUCUAUACUGCAGCCCACACAAUUGACCUGCGGUGUUAUGAGCAUUUGAAAUUGUUCACUGGUGAGUCUGCAAAAAAGCUCAGUGGGAUUUUUUCUUUUUCUCUUUUUUCUUAUAACUUGGAAUGAGUCAUGUGCGAAAAGGUAAAGAAACAAAAGACGACUCUCAUUUAACCUGCUCAUGAAUGAGGCUGGUAACACAGAAAUGCACAUAGCACAACAUUUUAAAGCCACAGUAAAUUUGCAGAUACAUUAUGGAGAUAUAAGACCAAUGUUUUUAAAUUAGAAGAUUGUACAAAUCCUUGUGGCCCUGCCUAUUGCCAGCUGCAGAAAUACACCGAUCCUGGUCAGAAACACCGAUCAAAACCCAGGAGGAAGGCGUUAGCAAAUUAUUUAGCUUAACCUCAACUCCACAGACAGAUGGUUGAAACUUGGACACAAACAUUGGAUAAAACAGAAUAACAUUUUUGGUUUAAAGGAAACAAUCCACAAAAAGCCCCCAAAUCAUAGCUUUUUUUUUUUUUUUUUUUUUUUUUUAAUUAAAAACUGAUUUUGUUGCUUUAUCUUUUCAUUUGUAUAACAGGUAGAAUAAAAGAUGCAACGCUAGAACUUCAUUUGAAAUUUGGAUCCAUGGAAAAUGUAUAUAAAAGACCCCAUAAAACUAUUAACAGUUUUAAAUGCCAGAAGUUACGUUGUGUUUCAAACCUCUUGCCAAGUAGACACUUUUUUUAUUAUUAUUAUUAUUAUCAACG